rnacentral:rRNA from 1 species
CCUACGGGAGGCAGCAGUGGGGAAUAUUGCACAAUGGGGGAAACCCUGAUGCAGCGACGCCGCGUGAGUGAAGAAGUAUUUCGGUAUGUAAAGCUCUAUCAGCAGGAACGAGACAAGACGGUACCUGCCUAAGAAUCCCCGGCUAACUACGUGCCAGCAUCCGCGGUAAUUCUUAGGGGGCAAGCGUUUUCCGGAAAAACUGGUGUUAAAGGGAGUGUUGACGGAUGAGCAUGCCUUAAGUGAAAGGCGGGGGCCCAACCCCCGGACUGCUUUGGGAACUGGACGGCUGGAGUGCAGGAGAGGUAAGUGGAAUUACGAGUGUAGCGGUGAAAUGCGUAGAUAUUAGGAGGAACACCAGUGGCGAAGGCGGAUGAAUGGACUGUAACUGACGUUGAGGCACGAAAGCGUGGGGAGCAAACAGGAUUAGAUACCCUGGUAGUG